rnacentral:rRNA from 1 species
GAUGAACGCUGGCGGCGUGCCUAAUACAUGCAAGUCGAGCGAACGGACGAGAAGCUUUCUUCUCUGCUGUUAGCGGCGGACGGGUGAGUAACACGUGGAUAACCUACCUAUAAGACUGGGAUAACUUCGGGAAACCGUAGCUAAUACCGGAUAAUAUUUUGAACCGCAUGGUUCAAAAGUUAAAGACGGUCUUGCUGUCACUUAUAGAUGAAUCCGCGCUGCAUUAGCUAGUUGGUAAGGUAACGGCUUACCAAGGCAACGAUGCAUAGCCGACCUGAGAGGGUGAUCGGCCACACUGGAACUGAGACACGGUCCAGACUCCUACGGGAGGCAGCAGUAGGGAAUCUUCGGCAAUGGGCGAAAGCCUGACGGAGCAACGCCGCGUGAGUGAUGAAGGUCUUCGGAUCGUAAAACUCUGUUAUUAGGGAAGAACAUAUGUGUAAGUAACUGUGCACAUCUUGACGGUACCUAAUCAGAAAGCCACGGCUAACUACGUG